rnacentral:rRNA from 1 species
CAGGUCAGCAUACUGCCGUGAAUACGUUCCCGGGCCUUGUACACACCGCCCGUCACACCAUGAGAGUUGGGGAUACCCGAAGCCUGUGAGCCAACUUUUAGAGGCAGCAGUCGAAGGUAGAAUCAAUGAUUGGGGUGAAGUCGUAACAAGGUAUC